AACAACGUGAAAAAACCAUUUUUUGGAUCUUUCCCGGACCGUAAGUGCAAGCGGUCAGUGUAAUCCUCAUCAGUCAGGCUGCACAUGAACGUGAGCACAGCUUGUGAAAAACUGGGCUCUGGGGUGCAGCUUUUUCACAAAAGCCAUAUUGAUUAA